rnacentral:rRNA from 1 species
CUGCGGAGGAUCAUUACCGAGUGCGGGCCCUCGUGGCCCAACCUCCCACCCUUGUCUCUCUACACCUGUUGCUUUGGCGGGCCCACUGGGGCUCCCUGGUCGCCGGGGGACGCCUGUCCCCGGGCCCGCGCCCGCCGAAGCGCUUCGUGAACCCUGAUGAAGAAGGGCUGUCUGAGUACUAUGAAAAUUGUCAAAACUUUCAACAAUGGAUCUCUUGGUUCCGGCAUCGAUGAAGAACGCAGCGAAAUGCGAUAAGUAAUGUGAAUUGCAGAAUUCCGUGAAUCAUCGAAUCUUUGAACGCACAUUGCGCCCCCUGGCAUUCCGGGGGGCAUGCCUGUCCGAGCGUCAUUUCUGCCCUCAAGCACGGCUUGUGUGUUGGGUGUGGUCCCCCCGGGGACCUGCCCGAAAGGCAGCGGCGACGUCCGUCUGGUCCUCGAGCGUAUGGGGCUCUGUCACUCGCUCGGGAAGGACCUGCGGGGGUUGGUCACCACCACAUUUUCCAUUAUGGUUGACCUCGGAUCAGGUAGGAGUUACCCGCUGAACUUAAGCAUAUCAAUAAGCGGAGGAAAAGAAACCAACCGGGAUUGCCUCAGUAACGGCGAGUGAAGCGGCAAGAGCUCAAAUUUGAAAUCUGGCCCUUUCAGGGUCCGAGUUGUAAUUUGCAGAGGAUGCUUCGGGUGCGGUCCCCAUCUAAGUGCCCUGGAACGGGCCGUCAUAGAGGGUGAGAAUCCCGUCUGGGAUGGGCGGCCGUGCCCGUGUGAAGCUCCU